rnacentral:rRNA from 1 species
UAGGGAAUCUUCCGCAAUGGGCGAAAGCUUGACGGAGCAACGCCGCGUGAGUGAUGAAGGUCUUCGGAUCGUAAAACUCUGUUAUUAGGGAAGAACAAAUGUGUAAGUAACUAUGCACGUCUUGACGGUACCUAAUCAGAAAGCCACGGCUAACUACGUGCCAGCAGCCGCGGUAAUACGUAGGUGGCAAGCGUUAUCCGGAAUUAUUGGGCGUAAAGCGCGCGUAGGCGGUUGUUUAAGUCUGAUGUGAAAGCCCACGGCUCAACCGUGGAGGGUCAGUGGAAACUGGAAAACAUGAGUGCAGAAGAGGAAAGUGGAAUUCCAGGAGUAGCGGGGAAAUGCGCAGAGAUAUGGGGGAACACCAGUGGCGAAGGCGACGUUCUGGUCGGUAACUGACGCUGAUGUGCGAAAGCGUGGGGAUCAAACAGG